GCACGAGAAAGUGGAGCAAUCCAUGAGUAAAGUGGCGUACGGGUGAGUAACACGUGGAUCAUCUACCUCUUGGUGGGGAAUAACCUUGGGAAACCGGGGCUAAUACCGCAUAAGCCUGGAAAGGGAAAGCAGCAAUGCGCCGAGAGAGGAGUCCGCGGCCGAUUAGCUAGUUGGUAGGGUAAUGGCCUACCAAGGCAAUGAUCGGUAGCCGGCCUGAGAGGGCACACGGCCACACUGGCACUGAAACACGGGCCAGACUCCUACGGGAGGCAGCAGUGGGGAAUCUUGCACAAUGGGGGAAACCCUGAUGCAGCGACGCCGCGUGAGCGAUGAAGCCCUUCGGGGUGUAAAGCUCUUUCGGCAGGAACGAUAAUGACGGUACCUGAAGAAGAAGCUGCGGCUAACUACGUGCCAGCAGCCGCGGUAAUACGUAGGCAGCAAGCGUUGUUCGGAGUUACUGGGCGUAAAGAGUGUGUAGGCGGUUCUCUAAGUUCGGUGUGAAAUCUCCCGGCUCAACUGGGAGGGUGCGCCGGAAACUGGAGGGCUUGAGUAUGGGAGAGGAAAGCGGAAUUCCUGGUGUAGCGGUGAAAUGCGUAGAUAUCAGGAGGAACACCGGUGGUGUAGACGGCUCUCUGGACCGCAACUGACGCUGAGACACGAAAGCGUGGGUAGCAAACAGGAUUAGAUACCCUGGUAGUCCACGCCCUAAACGAUGCAUAUUU
rnacentral:rRNA from 1 species